rnacentral:rRNA from 1 species
AGUGAACGCUGGCGGUAGGCCUAACACAUGCAAGUCGAACGGCAGCACAGUAAGAGCUUGCUCUUACGGGUGGCGAGUGGCGGACGGGUGAGGAAUACAUCGGAAUCUACUUUUUCGGGGGGGAUAACGUAGGGAAACUUACGCUAAUACCGAAUACGACCUACGGGUGAAAGCAGGGGAUCUUCGGACCUUGCGCGAUUGAAUAAGCCGAUGUCGGAUUAGCUAGUUGGCGGGGUAAAGGCCCACCAAGGCGACGAUCCGUAGCUGGUCUGAGAGGAUGAUCAGCCACACUGGAACUGAGACACGGUCCAGACUCCUACGGGAGGCAGCAGUGGGGAAUAUUGGACAAUGGGCGCAAGCCUGAUCCAGCCAUACCGCGUGGGUGAAGAAGGCCUUCGGGUUGUAAAGCCCUUUUGUUGGGAAAGAAAAGCAGCAGGUUAAUACCCCGCUGUUCUGACGGUACCCAAAGAAUAAGCACCGGCUAACUUCGUG